GAUUGAACGCUGGCGGUAUGCUUAACACAUGCAAGUCGAACGGAAACGAUACUAGCUUGCUAGUAGGCGUCGAGUGGCGGACGGGUGAGUAACGCGUAGGAAUCUGCCUGAUAGUGGGGGAUAGCCCGAAGAAAUUCGGAUUAAUACCGCAUAAUCUAUUCGUAGUAAAGUGGGGGACUUUCGAGCCUCACGCUAUCAGAUGAGCCUGCGUAAGAUUAGCUAGUUGGUAGGGUAAAAGCCUACCAAGGCGACGAUCUUUAGCUGGUCUGAGAGGAUGAUCAGCCACAUCGGGACUGAGACACGGCCCGAACUCCUACGGGAGGCAGCAGUGGGGAAUAUUGGACAAUGGGGGCAACCCUGAUCCAGCAAUACCGCGUGUGUGAAGAAGGCCUGAGGGUUGUAAAGCACUUUCAAUUGUGAAGAAAAGUUAACGGUUAAUAACCGUUAGCCUUGACGUUAACUUUAGAAGAAGCACCGGCUAACUCCGUGCCAGCAGCCGCGGUAAUACGGAGGGUGCAAGCGUUAAUCGGAAUUACUGGGCGUAAAGCGUGCGUAGGCGGUUUAUUAAGUCAGAUGUGAAAGCCCCGGGCUUAACCUGGGAACUGCAUUUGAAACUGGUCAACUAGAGUAUGGUAGAGGAAAGUGGAAUUUCUGGUGUAGCGGUGAAAUGCGUAGAUAUCAGAAGGAACAUCAAUGGCGAAGGCAGCUUUCUGGACCAAUACUGACGCUGAGGUACGAAAGCGUGGGUAGCAAACAGGAUUAGAUACCCUGGUAGUCCACGCCGUAAACGAUGAUAACUAGCCGUUGGGGGGAUUUACCCUUUAGUGGCGAAGCUAACGCGUUAAGUUAUCCGCCUGGGGAGUACGGCCGCAAGGUUAAAACUCAAAGGAAUUGACGGGGACCCGCACAAGCGGUGGAGCAUGUGGUUUAAUUCGAUGCAACGCGAAGAACCUUACCUGGUCUUGACAUCCUGCGAACUUUCUAGAAAUAGAUUGGUGCCUUCGGGAACGCAGUGACAGGUGCUGCAUGGCUGUCGUCAGCUCGUGUCGUGAGAUGUUGGGUUAAGUCCCGUAACGAGCGCAACCCCUAUCCUUAUUUGCCAGCACGUCAUGGUGGGAACUAUAAGGAGACUGCCGGUGAUAAACCGGAGGAAGGCGGGGACGACGUCAAGUCAUCAUGGCCCUUACGACCAGGGCUACACACGUGCUACAAUGGGAAGGACAAAGAGCCGCGAAGCCGCGAGGUGUAGCUAAUCUCAGAAACCUUUUCGUAGUCCGGAUUGGAGUCUGCAACUCGACUCCAUGAAGUCGGAAUCGCUAGUAAUCGUAGAUCAGAAUGCUACGGUGAAUACGUUCCCGGGUCUUGUACUCACCGC
rnacentral:rRNA from 1 species